rnacentral:rRNA from 1 species
AUGGAAACACCAGCUCCUCCUGAAUGUAUGACCUGCUUGGGUGACGCAUACAGGGUUUCUUGGAUGGAAGACAGUGAAACUCACAAUCUACACAAGGAAACCAUCAAGCAGCAGUACGAGGUGGUUAAAGCAAGAACGGCACCCCCAAAUGACUCCAAUAUCGGUUCUCAUGUCAUGGAGUAUGGUAACAAGACAUUCAAGGAUGACAAGCUUUUCCUUUAUCAAGGUUUCUAUCCUGUGAAGUCAAGCAUCACAAACAGGCCGCUGCUUUCGCCCAGCCUCAAGGGUGCAAUCAAUCAAAGAGAUGUUGAUAUUCUUUUCAUGUGGAAGAAGUAUGAGCAGUUAAAUGUUGGAUCAGAGGAGAAGCAGAGGGCUCUCACCUCUCAGGGAGGUCAAAGAAACUGUGUUACACAGGAAGCAUCUCGACAGCAGUAUCGAUUUCAUCGGGAAGCUUGUCUUUGGAUUUGA